CGUUCCAAUUUCCCAACAAAACAGUGAUUUUUCCCCCAACACGUUCCAAAACAUAAACCCUAAUUACAAACAAAUCGUCGAAAUGAAUUCACUCUUAUUUCCAAUUCAGAGAUUUCGUACAAUGUUCGGAAAAAAUUCGGUCGCAACAUGGAUGUUCUACCAGUCAUUCUCUUGAAGUUUGUUGUCCAAAACUGCUAGUCAGAUCGAUCUGUUCAAGAUUUCGUUAAUCGGAAAUGAAGCUCGGAUGGCCAUUCUCUUAUAUUAACAGAUUAGUUCAUUCUUUUAAAGCUAAUCACUUUGAUUUAAAAAUAGAUGAAUUAGUUAAUACCGACCAUAUAGCUAUAAACGUGGAAUCAUUAAAUCCGACAUCCUUGCGGGCCUUACUAGAUCUUGAUCAAGAUCUAGUGAGUGUUAAACACCUACGCAAGGAUGACUCAACUAGUAGAUUAAUUCCGGAAUUUCUUUUACUAUGUCAGAAAACCUUCUUUCGUUGUAAUAGUUAUGAGGACAGGCUUCGGUUAUUUCACGACUCGCCACAGACCGGCUCCCCUUUUGGACUUGACACUUUCGAUGUUGGUUAUGGCGAGUUCUGCCAUAACCAACUUGAUUUUUUUGAGCAAAACUGAAACAGAGAAAGCUAAGUUGCAACGUGACGCCAAGUAUUACAAAUAUUCUCGACAUUUUUCUACUAUAGUCCUUUGCCUUAUUUUCAUAACCAUAUAUUUUUCUAGCCUUGUCGCUGCCGCCAUGGAGGCAACACCUUUAGUAAAAGCCCUCAUGGUAGGUUUGCCGACGGUGACGGUGUGGACAUGGGUAAACGGAAAAUUGAAAAAGAAAGAUGAGGAUAUAAAAAACACUUGAAUGUUAUAUCAUAUAUGAAUGUUAGCAUUGAUAUGAUGCUUAAACAUAUCAUGCUUAUUAGGGAUCUUGGAUCUGCUGAAAAGAUCCAAGAUCGAGGGCGAUACAAAAAAUAAAAUAUAAAAUCAGUUUUAAAAAUAAUCACACGAUGCAUGACAUUUGUUUUUUGAAAUCCAGAAAACUGGUUUUGCACCAGUUUUCUGAAAUUGAGUGAUUGCAUGACCUAAAUUAUAUAAAUUAUGUUUAUGCAGAAAACUGGGAGGAGAAACUGAAAUUGAGCCAGUGUGAUCUUAUCUGCUCUUCCAGUUACUUCUGUUCCUAGCCAUCACUCUGAGCUGGUUCUUACCCCGAAUUUGCCCGAUAUAACUGUUGUUCUGCUCUUUAUGUUCUUGAUUGAUGGUGGUUGUGUGCUUGUGCGUUUGAGCAAGGGUCCGUGGAAAGCCUCUUUUUAGUUUCUUGUUUGAACUCGGAUCCAAGGAGCAUACCUACUAUGUUUGGAGGCUCUAUUCUUUUGCUCAGAUAGUUGAAGCUUUGACAGAUCGACUAAAGUUGCAAGGCUCAUGCUCGUGUCAGACAUUCUUCACUGUACUUUAAAGCUUUAAUGAUUUAUGUCAGAGUAUCACAGGAAGAAUCACUGCUGAGGCCCUUAAGGAUAAUGAGUGAUAAGAACUUGGAGGACAAUGACAUUGAACCGACACCCAAGCUUAUUGGCGUGGUGUUCCAGAACUGCCAAGGCCAGGUAGAGCAUUGGGUUAAGCCAUAUAUUAGACUCAUGGUUGAGCGUUUGCGUGUAGUAGAGACUAGAGAGACCUUGAAAUGUCUUCUGGUGCAAGUUGUAACUUAAAACUGGGAGGAGAAACUGAAAUUGAGCCAUUGUGAUCUUAUCUGCUCCUCCAGUUACUUCCGUUCCUAGCCAUCACUUUGAGCUGGUUCUUACCCCCGAUAUAUAACUGUUGUUCUGCUCUUUAUCUUCUUGAUGGUGCUUGUGCGUUUGAGCAAGAGUCCGUGGAAAGCCUCUUUUUAGUUUCUUGUUUGAACUCAGAUCCAAGGAGCAUACCUACUAUGUUUGGAGGCUGUAUUCUUUUGCUCAGAUAGUUGAAGCUUUGACCGACUAAAGUUGCAAGGCUCAUGCUUGUGUCAGACAUUCUUCACUGUACUUUAAAGCUUUAAUGAUUUAUGUGAGAGUAUCACAUGAAGAAUCACUUGUAUUAUGAUAUUCCUUUUGGUGUGUCUAGUUGAAAGAUUGUAUGAUUUCACUUGUAUUUCAAAUUGACUUAUCCCUAGCUUUCAAUAAUUAGACCAAUUGCGAUAUACAUUAGUUUGUCACCAAUCACAAUAAAGUUGUCUAUUUUUUUUCUUCA